rnacentral:rRNA from 1 species
CCUACGGGAGGCAGCAGUGGGGAAUUUUGGACAAUGGGCGCAAGCCUGAUCCAGCAAUGCCGCGUGAGUGAAGAAGGCCUUCGGGUUGUAAAGCUCUUUUGUCAGGGAAGAAACGGUGGGGGCUAAUAUCUCUUGCUAAUGACGGUACCUGAAGAAUAAGCACCGGCUAACUACGUGCCAGCAGCCGCGGUAAUACGUAGGGUGCAAGCGUUAAUCGGAAUUACUGGGCGUAAAGCGUGCGCAGGCGGUUUUGUAAGUUUGUCGUGAAAUCCCCGGGCUCAACCUGGGAAUGGCGAUGAAGACUGCAAGGCUAGAAUCUGGCAGAGGGGGGUAGAAUUCCACGUGUAGCAGUGAAAUGCGUAGAGAUGUGGAGGAACACCGGUGGCGAAGGCAGCCCCCUGGGUCAAGAUUGACGCUCAUGCACGAAAGCGUGGGGAGCAAACAGGAUUAGAUACCCUGGUAGUCCACGCCCUAAACGAUGUCUACUAGUUGUCGGGUUUUAAUUAACUUGGUAACGCAGCUAACGCGUGAAGUAGACCGCCUGGGGAGUACGGUCGCAAGAUUAAAACUUCAAAUGAAUUGACGGCUUGGNGAGNGCGAGGCGACGACGAGGGAGGAGG